CCUUUACUAUAGCUUGACACUGAACAUUGAGCCUUGAUGUGUAGGAUAGGUGGGAGGCUUUGAAGCGUGGACGCCAGUCUGCGUGGAGCCGACCUUGAAAUACCACCCUUUAAUGUUUGAUGUUCUAACGUGGACCCGUUACCCGGGUUGCGGACAGUGUCUGGUGGGUAGUUUGACUGGGGCGGUCUCCUCCUAAAGAGUAACGGAGGAGCACGAAGGUUGGCUAAUCCUGGUCGGACAUCAGGAGGUUAGUGCAAUGGCAUAAGCCAGCUUGACUGCGAGCGUGACGGCGCGAGCAGGUGCGAAAGCAGGUCAUAGUGAUCCGGUGGUUCUGAAUGGAAGGGCCAUCGCUCAACGGAUAAAAGGUACUCCGGGGAUAACAGGCUGAUACCGCCCAAGAGUUCAUAUCGACGGCGGUGUUUGGCACCUCGAUGUCGGCUCAUCACAUCCUGGGGCUGAAGUAGGUCCCAAGGGUAUGGCUGUUCGCCAUUUAAAGUGGUACGCGAGCUGGGUUUAGAACGUCGUGAGACAGUUCGGUCCCUAUCUGCCGUGGGCGCUGGAGAACUGAGGGGGGCUGCUCCUAGUACGAGAGGACCGGAGUGGACGCAUCACUGGUGUUCGGGUUGUCAUGCCAAUGGCACUGCCCGGUAGCUAAAUGCGGAAGAGAUAAGUGCUGAAAGCAUCUAAGCACGAAACUUGCCCCGAGAUGAGUUCUCCCUGAGACUUUAGGUCUCCUGAAGGAACGUUGAAGACGACGACGUUGAUAGGCCGGGUGUGUAAGCGCAGCGAUGCGUUGAGCUAACCGGUACUAAUGAACCGUGAGGCUUAACCUUACAACGCCGAAGCUGUU
rnacentral:rRNA from 1 species